rnacentral:rRNA from 1 species
GAACGGUGUCUUCGGACACAGUGGCGGACGGGUGAGUAACGCGUGAGAAUCUGGCUUUAGGUCUGGGACAACCACUGGAAACGGUGGCUAAUACUGGAUGUGCCGAAAGGUGAAAGGUUAACUGCCUGAAGAUGAGCUCGCGUCUGAUUAGCUAGUAGGUAGUGUAAUGGACUACCUAGGCGACGAUCAGUAGCUGGUCUGAGAGGACGAUCAGCCACACUGGGACUGAGACACGGCCCAGACUCCUACGGGAGGCAGCAGUGGGGAAUUUUCCGCAAUGGGCGAAAGCCUGACGGAGCAAUACCGCGUGAGGGAGGAAGGCUCUUGGGUCGUAAACCUCUUUUCUCAGGGAAGAACACAAUGACGGUACCUGAGGAAUAAGCAUCGGCUAACUCCGUGCCAGCAGCCGCGGUAAUACGGAGGAUGCAAGCGUUAUCCGGAAUGAUUGGGCGUAAAGCGUCCGCAGGUGGCGAUGUAAGUCUGCUGUUAAAGAGUCUAGCUCAACUAGAUAAAAGCAGUGGAAACUACAUAGCUAGAGUACGUUCGGGGCAGAGGGAAUUCCUGGUGUAGCGGUGAAAUGCGUAGAGAUCAGGAAGAACACCGGUGGCGAAGGCGCUCUGCUAGGCCGUAACUGACACUGAGGGACGAAAGCUAGGGGAGCGAAUGGGAUUAGAUACCCCAGUAGUCCUAGCCGUAAACGAUGGAUACUAGGCGUGGCUUGUAUCGACCCGAGCCGUGCCGUAGCUAACGCGUUAAGUAUCCCGCCUGGGGAGUACGCCGGCAACGGUGAAACUCAAAGGAAUUGACGGGGGCCCGCACAA